UACGGAGGGGGCUAGCGUUGUUCGGAAUUACUGGGCGUAAAGCGCACGUAGGCGGCUUUGUAAGUUAGAGGUGAAAGCCCGGGGCUCAACCCCGGAAUUGCCUUUAAGACUGCAUCGCUAGAAUUGUGGAGAGGUAAGUGGAAUUCCGAGUGUAGAGGUGAAAUUCGUAGAUAUUCGGAAGAACACCAGUGGCGAAGGCGACUUACUGGACACAUAUUGACGCUGAGGCGCGAAAGCGUGGGGAGCAAACAGG
rnacentral:rRNA from 1 species